rnacentral:tRNA from 1 species
UCUAAUGUGGCAGAUUAGUGCAAUAGAUUUAAGACCUAUAAAUAAAAUUAUUUUUCUUUAGAA